rnacentral:rRNA from 1 species
UACGUAGGGUCCGAGCGUUGUCCGGAAUUAUUGGGCGUAAAGAGCUCGUAGGCGGUUUGUCGCGUCUGCUGUGAAAUCCCGAGGCUCAACCUCGGGUCUGCAGUGGGUACGGGCAGACUGGAGUGCGGUAGGGGAGAAUGGAAUUCCUGGUGUAGCGGUGGAAUGCGCAGAUAUCAGGAGGAACACCGAUGGCGAAGGCAGUUCUCUGGGCCGUAACUGACGCUGAGGAGCGAAAGCGUGGGGAGCGAAUGGG